GUGUUUUACAGCCUACAGGGAACGAAUCUUACAAAGGCCUGUGAAACGCAGUUUCUUCCCAGGCAUGAUCUCGCUGAAGUAGAACUUCUGCUCUGCCGUGUCCUACAUGGCCCUAGAGCUGCAAGGCACAAAGUCCUGCCUUGUUUCCCCAAGGGGAGACAAGUCCCUCAGCGUCCAGCUUCCAGCUCUUUCGGCAGCUAAGAAACAACUCGCUCUGCAUAGGGCUCUUACAGGCUACCGGGAACAUGUCUUACAAAGGCCUGUGAAUGCAGUUUCUUCCCAGCCCUGAUCUGGCUGAAGUAGAACUUCUGAUCUGCCGUGUCCUACAUGGCCCUAGAGCUGCAAGGCACAAAGUCCUGCCUUGUUUCCCCAAGGGGAGACUAGGCACUCAGCGUCCAGCUUCCAGCUCUUUCGGCAGCUAAGAAACAACUCGCUCUGCAUAGGGCUCUUACAGCCUACUGGGAACAUGUCUUACAAAGGCCUGUGAAAGGCAGUUUCUUCCCAGCCCUGAUCUAGCUGAAGUAGAACUUCUGCUGUGCCGUGUCCGACAUGGCCCUAGACCUUCAAGGCACUAAGUCCUGCCUUGUUUCCACAAGGGGAGACUAGUCCCUAAGUGUCCAGCUUCCAGCUCUUUGGGCAGCUAAGAAACAACUUGCUCUGCACGGGGCUCUUUCAUUCUACCUGGAACAUGUCUUACAAAGGCCUGUGAAUCGCAGUUUCUUCUCAGGCCUGAUGUCGCUGAAGUAGAACUUCUGCUCUGCCGUGUCCUACAUGGCCCUAGAGCUGCAAGGCACAAAGUCCUGCCUUGUUUCCCCAAGGGGAGACUAGUCCCUCAGCGUCCAGCUUCCAGCUCUUUGGGCAGCUAGGAAACAACUUGCUCUGCACAGGGCUCCUCCAUCCUCCCUGGAACAUGUCUUACAAAGGCCUGUGAAACGCAGUUUCUUCCCAGGCCUGAUCUCGCUGAAGUAGAACUUCUGCUCUGCCGUGUCCUACCUGGGCCUAAGCUGCAAGUCACAAAGUCCUGCCUUGUUUCCACAAGGGGAGACAAGUCCCUCAGCGUCCAGCUUCAAGCUCUUUGGGCAGCUAAGAAACAACUCGCUCUGCAUUGGGCUCUUACAGCCUACUGGGAACAAGUCUUGCACAGACCUGUGAAACGCAGUUUCUUCCCAGCCCUGAUCUGGCUGAAGUACAACUUCUGCUCUGCCGUGUCCUACAUGGGCCUAGAGCUGCAAGGCACAAAGUCCUGCCUUGCUUUCCCAAGGGGACACUAGUCCCUCAGCGUCCAGCUUCCAGCUCAUUGGGCAGCUAGGAAACAACUCGCUCUGCAUUGGUGUUUUACAGCCUACCGGGAAGAUAUCUUACAAAGGCCUGUGAAACGCAGUUUCUUUGCAGGCCUGAUAUGUCUGAAGCAGAACUUCCGCUCUGUGUGUGCUACAUUGGCUUAGAGAUGCCAGGUCCAAAGGGCUGCCUUGUUUCCAAAGGGGCAGAGAAGCCCUAAAGCAUGUUGCUUAGAGGUCUUUGGGAAGCUAAGAAACAACUGGCUCUGCCCAGUGCUCUUACAACCUACAUGGAACAUCUGUUACCAAGGCCUGUGAAAUGCAGUUUCUUGACAGGCCUGAUCUGGCUGAAGCAGACCUUCUGCUCUGGGUGUGCUACAUUGGCAUAGAGUUGCCAGGCCCAAAGUGCUGGCUUCUUUGCAAAGGGGUAGAGAGGCCCCAAAGCAUCUUGCUUCCAGCUCUUUGGGAAGCUAAGAAACUACUGGCUCUGCCCAGUGCUCUUACAACCUACCUGGAACAUCUGUUAUCAAGGCCUUUGAAAUGCAGUUUCUUGACAGGCCUGAUCUGGCUGAAGCAGAUCUUCUGCUCUGGGUGUGCUACAUUGCCCUAGAGAUGCAAGGCACAAAGUGAUGUCUUCUUUGCAAAGGGCGAGUUGGGCCCCAAAGCAUCUUGCUUCCAGCUCUUUGGGAAGCUAAGGAACAACUCGCUCUGCAUAGGGCUCUUACAGGCUACCGGGAACAUGACUUACAAAGGCCUGUGAAACGCCGUUUCUUCCCAGGGCUGAUCUCGCUGAAGUAGAACUUCUGCUAUGCCGUGUCCUACAUGGGCCUAGAGCUGCAGGGCACAAAGUCCUGCCUUGUUUCCCCAAGGGGAGACUGGUCCCUCAGCGUCGAGCUUCCAGCUCUUUGGGCAGCUAAGAAACAAGUUGCUCUGCACAGGGCUCUUCCAGCCUACCGGGAACAUGUCUUACAAAGGCCUGUGCAACGGAGUUUCUUCUGAGGCCUGAUAUCGCUGAAGUAGAACUUCUGCUAUACCAUGUCCUACAUCGGCCAGGAGCUGCAAGGCACAAAGUCCUGCCUUGUGUCCUCAAGGGCAGUCAGGGCAAACACCGUGGGGCUUCCAGCUCAAUGGGCAGCUAAGAAACAACUUGCUCUGCACUGGUGUUUUACAGCCUACCUGGAACAUGUCUUACAAAGGCCUCUGAAACGCUGAUUCUUCCCAGUCCUGAUCUGCGUGAAUUAGAACUUCUGCUCUGCCGUGUCCUACAUGUCCCUAGAGCUGCAAGGCACAAAGUCCUGCCUUCUUUUCCCAAGGGAAGCCUAGUCCCUCAGUGUCAAGCUUCCAGCUCUUUGGGCAGCUGAGAAGCAACUUGCUCUGCACAGGUGUUUUACAGCCUACAGGGAACGAGUCUUACAAAGGCCUGUGAAAUGCAGAUUCUUUGCAGCCUUGAUCUGGCCGAAGUAGAACUUCUGCUCUGUGUGUGCUACAUUGCCCUAGAGCUGAAAUGCACAAAGUGCUGUCUUCUUUCCAAAGGGCGAGUUGGGCCCCAAAGCAUCUUGCUGCCAGCUCUUUGGGAAGCUAAGAGACAACUCGCUCUGCACACCUCUCUUACAGCCAACCGGGAACAUUUCUUACAAAGGCCUGUGAAACCCAGUUUCUUUGCAGGCCUGAUCUGGCUGAAGUAGAACUUCUGCUCUGGGUGUGCUACAUUGCCCUAGAGCUGAAAGGCGCAACGUGCAGUCUUCUUUCCAAAGGGCGAGUUGGGCCUCAAAGAAUCUUGCUUCCAGCUCUUUGGGAAGCUAAGAAACAACUCGCUCUGCACAGUGCUCUUACAGCCUACAGGGAACAUCUCUUACAAAGGCCUGUGAAACGCAGUUUCUUUGCAGGCCAGAUCUGGCUGAAGUAGAACUUCUGCUCUGGCUGUGCUACAUUGCCCUAGAGAUGCAAGGCACAAAGUGAUGUCUUCUUUGCAAAGGGCGAGUUGGGCCCCAAAGCAUCUUGCUUCCAGCUCUUUGGGAAGCUAAGAAACAACUCGCUCUGCACACCUCUCUCUUACAGCCAACCGGGAACAUCUCUUACAGAGGCCUGUGAAAUGCAGUUUCUUGGCCGGCCUGAUCUGGCUGAAGUAGAACUUCUGCUCUGGGUGUGCUACAUUGGCCUAGAGCUGCCAGGCUGAAAGGGCUGCCUUGUUUGGAAAGGGGCAGAGAGGCCCCAAAGCUUCUUGCUUCCAGCUCUUUGGGAAGCUAAGAAACAACUGGCUCUGCCCAAUGCUCCUACAACCUACCUGGAAAAUCUGUUACGAAGUCCUGAGUAAUGCAGUUUCUUGGCAGGCCUGAUCUGGCUGAAGCAGACCUUCUGCUCUGGGCGUGGUACAUUGGCCUAGAGGUGCCAGACACAAAGGGCUGCCUUGUUUCCAUAGGGGGAGAGAGGCCGCAAAGCAUCUUGCUUCCAGCUUCUUGGGUAGCUGAGAAACAACUGGCACUGCACAAUGCUACCACAGCCUACCGGGAACAUCACUUACACAGGCCUGUGAAAUGCAGUUUCUUGGCAUGCCUGAUCUGGCUGAAGUAGGACUUCGGCUCUGGUUGUGCUACAUUUGCCUAGGGCUGUCAGGUGCAAAGGGCUGCCUUGUUUCCAAAGGGGAAGAGAAGCCCUAAAGCAUCUUGCUUCCAGCUCUUUGGGAAGCUAAGAAACAACUGGCUCUGCCCAGUGCUCUUACAACCUACCUGGAACAUCUGUUACCAAGGCCUGUGAAAUGCAGUUUCUUGGCAGGCCUGAUUUGGCUGAAGCAGACCUUCUGCUCUGGUUGUGCUACAUUGGCAUAGAGCUGCCAGGCCCAAAGUGUUGUCUUGUUUCCAAAGGGGGAGAUAGGCCCCAUACAUCUUGCUUCCAUCUCUUUGGGAAGCUAAGGAACAACUGGCACUGAACAAUGCUACCACAGCCUACCGGGAACAUCACUUACAAAGGCCUGUGAAACGCAGUUUCUUGGCAGGCCUGAUCUUACUGAAGUAAAAUUGCUGCUCUUGGUGUGCUACAUUUGCCUACAGCUGCCAGGCCGAAAGGGCUGCCUUGUUUGCAAAGAGGCAGAGACACCCCUAAGCAUCUUGCUUAGAGCUCAUUGGGAAGCUAAGAAACAACUGGCUCUGCCCAUUGCUCUGACAGCCUACCGGCAACAUCUCUUACAGAAGCCUGUGAAACGCAUUUUCUAGGCAGGCCUGAUCUGGCUGAAGUAGAACUUCUUCUCUGGCUGUGCUACAUUGGCUUUGAGCUGCCAGGCCGAAAGGGCUGCCUUGUUUGCAAAGGGGAGGAGCGGCCCCAAGCAUCUUGCUUUCAGCUCUUUCUGAAGCUAAGAAAAAACUGGCUCAGCCCAGUGCUCUAACAGCCUAGCGGGAACAUAUCUUACAGAGGCCUGUGAAACGCAGUUUCUUGGCUGGCCUGAUCUGGCUGAAGUAGAACUUCUUCUCUGGCUGUGCUACAUUGGCUUUGAGCUGCCAGGCCGAAAGGGCUGCCUUGUUUGCAAAGGGGAGGAGCGGCCCCAAGCAUCUUGCUUUCAGCUCUUUCUGAAGCUAAGAAAAAACUGGCUCAGCCCAGUGCUCUAAAAGCCUAGCGGGAACAUAUCUUACAGAGGCCUGUGAAACGCAGUUUCUUGGCUGGCCUGAUAUGGCUGAAGUAGAACUUCUGCUCUGGGUGUGCUACAUUGGCAUAGAGAUGCCAGGCCCAAAACGCUGCCUCGUUUGCAACCAGGCAGAGAAGCCCUAAAGCAUCUUGCUUCCAGAUCUUUGGGAAGCUAAGAAACAACUGGCUCUGCCCAGUGCUCUUACAACAUACCUGGAACAUCUGUUACCAAGGCCUGUGAAAUGCAAUUUCUUGGAAGGCCUGAUCUGUCUGAAGCAGAACUUCUGCUCUGGGUGUGCUACAUUGGCCUAGAGCUGCCAGGCCGAAAGGGCUGCCCUGUGCAAAGGGGCAGAGAGGCCCCAAAUCAUCUUGCUUCCAGCUCUUUGGGAAGCUAAGAAACAAGUGGCUCUGCCCAGUGCUCUUACAACCUACCUGGAACAUCUGUUACCAAGGCCUGUGAAAUGCAGUUUCGUGGCAGGCCCCAUCUGACUGAAGCAGACCUUCUGCUCUGGGUGUGCUACAUUGGCAUAGAGCUGCCAGGCCCAAAGGGUUGCCUUGUUUCCAAAGUGGGAGAGAGGCCCCAUACAUCUUGCUUACAGCUCUUUGGGAAGCUAAGGAACAGCCGACACUGAACAAUGCUACCACAGCCUACCGGGAACAUCACUUACAAAGGCCUGUGAAACGCAUGUUCUUGUCAGGCCUGAUCUUACUGAAGUAGAAUUUCUGCUCUGGGUGUGCUACAUUUUCCUACAGCUGCCAGACCGAAAGGGCUGCCUUGUUUGCAAAGAGGCAGAGAGGCCCCAAAGCAUCUUGCUUAGAGCUCUUUGGGAAGCUAAGAAACAACCGGCUCUGGCCAGUGCUCGUACAACCUACCUGGAACAUCUGUUACCAAGGCCUGUGAAAUGCAGUUUCGUGGCAGGCCCCAUCUGACUGAAGCAGACCUUCUGCUCUGGGUGUGCUACAUUGGCAUAGAGCUGCCAGGCCCAAAGGGUUGCCUUGUUUCCAAAGUGGGAGAGAGGCCCCAUACAUCUUGCUUACAGCUCUUUGGGAAGCUAAGGAACAGCCGACACUGAACAAUGCUACCACAGCCUACCGGGAACAUCACUUACAAAGGCCUGUGAAACGCAUGUUCUUGUCAGGCCUGAUCUUACUGAAGUAGAAUUUCUGCUCUGGGUGUGCUACAUUUUCCUACAGCUGCCAGACCGAAAGGGCUGCCUUGUUUGCAAAGAGGCAGAGAGGCCCCAAAGCAUCUUGCUUAGAGCUCUUUGGGAAGCUAAGAAACAACCGGCUCUGGCCAGUGCUCGUACAGCCUAUGUGGAACAUCUGUUACCAAGGCCUGUGAAACGCAGUUUGUUGGCAGGCCUGAUCUGGCUGAAGUAGAACUUCUGCUCUGGGUGUGCUACAUUGGCCUAGAGCUGCCAGGCACAAAGGGCUGCAUUGUUUCCAAAGGGUGAGAGAGGCCCCAAACCAUCUUGCUUCCAGCUUUUUUUGGAGCUAAGAAACAACUGGCUCUGCCCAGUGUUCUUACAGCCUACCGGCAACAUCUCUUACAGAAGCCAGUGAAACGCAGUUUCUAGGCAGGCCUGAUCUGGCUGAAGAAAAACUUCUGCUCUGUGUGUGCUACAUUGGCAUAGAGAUGCCAGGCCCAAAGGGCUGCCUUGUUUGCAAAGGGGCAGAGAAGCCCUAAUGCAUCUUGCUUCCAGCUCUUUGGGAAGCUAAGAAACAACUGGCUCUGCCUAGUGCUCUGACAACCUCCCUGGAACAUCUGCUACCAAGGCCUGUGAAACGCAAUUUCUUGGAAGGCCUGUUCUGGCUGAAGCAGAACUUCUGCUCUGGGUGUGCUACAUUGGCAUACAGCUGCCAUGCCUAAAGUGCUGGCUUCUUUGCAAAGGCGUAGAGAGGCCACAAAGCAUCUUGCUUCCAGCUCUUUGGGAAGAUAAGAAACAAGUGGCUCUGCCCAGGGCUCUUACAACCUACCUGGAACAUCUGUUACCAAGGCCUUUGAAAUGCAGUUUCUUGGCAGGCCUGAUCUGGCUAAAGCAGACCUUCUGCUCUCGGUGUGCUACAUUGGCAUAGAGCUGCAAGGCACAAAGUCCUGCCUUUUGUCCUCAAGUGCAGACUGGCCCCACAGCGAAGGCCUUCCAGCUUGUUGGGCAGCUAAGAAACAACUUGCUCCGGACUGGUGUUUUACAGCCUAAAGGGAACGAGUCUUACAAAGGCCUGUGAAACGCAGUUUCAUCCCAGAACUUAUCUCACUGAAGUAGAACUUCUGCUCUGCCAUGUCCUACAUGGGCCUAGAGCUGCAAGGCACAAAGUCCUGCCUUGUUUCCACAAGGAGAGACAAGUCCCUCAGCGUCCAGCUUCCAGCUCUUUCGGCAGCUAAGAAAUAACUCGCUGUGCAUAGGGCUCUUACAGCCUACCCGGAACAUGUCUUACAAAGGCCUGUGAAAGGCAGUUUCUUCCCAGCCCUGAUCUGGCUGAAGUAGAACUUCUGCUCUGCCGGGUCCUACAUGGGCCUAGAGCUGCAUGGCACAGUGUCCUGCCUUGUUUCCACAAGGGGAGACUAGUCCCUCAGCGUCCAGCUUCCAGCUCUUUGGGCAGCUAAGAAACAACUCGCUCUUCAUUGGUGUUUUACAGCCUACAGGGAACAUGUCUUACAAAGGCCUGUGAAACACAGUUUCUUCUCAGGCCUGAUCUCGCUGAAGUAGAACUUCUGCUAUGCCGUGUCCUUCAUCGGCCUAGAGCUGCCAGGCACAAAGUCCGGCCUUGUGUCCUCAAGGGCAGACAGGCCCCACAGCGUGGGGCUUCCAGCUUUUGGGCAGCUAAGAAACAACUUGCUCAGCACUGGUGUUUUACAGCCUACCGGGAACAUGUCUUACAAAGGCCUCUGAAACGCUGAUUAUUCCCAGCACUGAUCUGCCUGAGGCAGAACUUCUGCUGUGCCGUGUCCUACAUGGCCCUAGAGCUGCAGGACACAAAGUCCUGCCUUGUUUCCACAAGGGGAGACAAGUCCCUCAGCGUCCAGCUUCCAGCUCUUUCGGCAGCUAAGAAACAACUCGCUCUGCAUAGGGCUCUUACAGCCUACCGGGAACAUGUCUUACAAAGACCUGUGAAAGGCAGUUUCUUCCCAGGGCUGAUCUCGCUGAAGUAGAACUUCUGCUCUGCCGUGUCCUACAUGGGCCCGGAUAUUCAAGGCACAAAGACCUGCCUUGUGUCCACAAGGGGAGUCUAGACCCUCAGCGUCCAGCUUCCAGCUCUUUGAUCAGCUAAGAAGCAACUUGCUCUGCACAGGGCUCUUACAGCCUACCAGGAACAUGUCUUACAAAGGCCUGUGAAACGCAGUUUCUUCUCAGGCCUGAUGUCGCUGAAGUAGAACUUCUGCUCUGCAGUGUCCUACAUGGGCCGAGAGCUGCCAGGCACAAAGUCCUGCCUUGUUUUCACAAGGGGAGACUAGUCCCUCACCGUCCAGCUUCCAGCUCUUUGGGCAGCUAAGUAACAACUCGCUCUGCAUUGGUGUUUUACAGCCUACUGGGAACAUGUCUUACAAAGGCCUGUGAAACGCAGUUACUUCUCAGGCCUGAUCUCGCUGACGUAGAACUUCUGCUCUGCCAUGUCCUACAUGGCCCUAGAGCUGCAAGGCACAAAGUCCUGCCUUGUUUCCCCAAGGGGAGACUAGUCACUCAGCAUCCAGCUUCCAGCUCUUUGGGCAGCUAAGAAACAACUUGCUCUGGACAGGGCUCUUCCAGCCUCCCUGGAACAUGUCUUACAAAGGCCUGUGAAACGCAGUUUCUUCCCAGGCCUGAUCUCGCUGCAGUAGAACUUCUGCUCUGCCGUGUCCUAAAUAGGCCUAGAGCUGCAAGGCACAAAGUCCUGCCUUGUUUCCACAAGGGGUGACAAGUCCCUUAGCGUCCAGCUUCCAGCUCCUUGGACAGCUAAGAAACAACUCACUUUGCAUAGGGCUCUUACAGCCUACCGGGAACAUGUCUUACAAAGGCCUGUGAAAUGCAGUUCCUUCUUAGGCCUGAUCUCGCUGAAGUAGAACUUCUGCUCUGCCGUGUCCUACAUGGGCUUAGAGCUGCAAGGCACAAAGUGCGGCCUUGUGUCCUCAAGGGCAGACAGGCCCCACAGCGUGGGGCUUGCAGCUCUUUGUGCUGCUAAGUAACAACUCGCUCUGCAUAGGGCUCUUACAGGGUACCGGGAACAUUUCUUACAAUGGCCUGUGAAACGCAGUUUCUUCCCAUGCCUUGUCUCGCUGAAGUAGAACUUCUGCUAUGCCAUGUCCUACAUCGGCCUAGAGCUGCAAGGCACAAAGUCCUGCCUUGUGUCCUCAAGGGCAGACAUGCCCCACAGCUUGGGACUUCCAGCUCUUUGGGCAGCUAAGAAACAACUUGCUCUGCACUGGAGGUUUGCAGCCUACUGGGAUCGAGUCUUACAAAGGCUUGUGAAGCGCAGUUUCUUCCCAGGGCUGAUCUCGCUGACGUAGAACUUCUGCUCUGCUGUGUCCGACAUGGCCCUAGACCUUCAAGGCACAAAGUCCUGCCUUGUUUCCACAAGGGGAGACUAGUCCGUCAGUGUCCAGCUUCCAGCUCUUUGGGCAGCUAAGAAACAACUUGCUCUGCACGGGGCUCUUUCAUUCUACCUGGAACAUGUCUUACAAAGGCCUGUGAAACGCAGUUUCUUCUCAGGCCUGAUCUCUCUGAAGUAGAACUUCUGCUAUGCCGUGUCCUUCAUCGGCCUAGAGCUGCAAGGCACAAAGUCCUGCCUUGUGUCCUCAAGGGCAGUUAGGCCCCACAGCGUGGGGCUUCCAGCACUUUGGGCAGCUAAGAAACAACUUCCUCUGCACUAGUGUUUUACAGCCUACAGGGAACGAGUGUUACAAAGGCCUGUGAAACGCAGUUUCUUCCCAGGCCUGAUCUCGCUGAAGUAGAACUUCUGCUCUGCCGUGUCCUACAUGUCCCUAGAGCUGCAAGGGACAAAGUCCUGCCUUGUUUCCACAAGGGGAGACUAGUCGCUCAGCGUCCAGCUUCCAGCUCUUUCGGCAGCUAAGAAACAACUUGCUCUGCACAGGGCUCUUCCAUCCUCCCUGGAACAUGUCUUACAAAGGCCUGUGAAAGGCAGUUUCUUCCCAGGCCUGAUCCUGCUGAAGUAGAACUUCUGCUCUGCCGUGUCCUACAUGGGCCUAGAGCUGCAAGGCACAAAAUCCUGCCUUGUUUCCAAAAGGGGAGACAAGUCCCUCAUCGUCCAGCUUGCAGCUCUUUGUGCAGCUAGGAAACAACUCGCUCUGCAUUGGUGUUUUACAGCCCACCGGGAACAUGUCUUACAAAGGCCUGUGAAACGCAGUUUCUUCCCAGGCCUGAUCCCGCUGAAGUGGAACUUCUGCUAUGCUGUGUCCUGCAUCGGCCUAGAGAUGCAAGGCACAAAGUCCUGCCUUGUGUCCUCAAGGGCAGACAGGCCCCACAGCGUGGGGCUUCCAGCUUUUUGGGCAGCUAAGAAACAACUUGCUCCGCACUGGUCUUUUACAGCCUACAGGGAACGUGUCUUACAAAGGCCUGUGAAACGCAGUUUCUUCCCAGGGCUGAUCUCGCUGAAUUAGAACUUCUUCUCUGCCGUGUCCUACAUGGGCCUGGAGCUGCAAGGCACAAAGUCCUGCUUUGUUUCCACUAGGGGAGACAAGUCCCUCAGCGUCCAGCUUCCAGCUCUUUCGGCAGCUAAGAAACAACUCGCUCUGCAUAGGGCUAUACAGCCUACCGGGAACAUGUCUUACAAAGGCCUGUGAAAGGCAGUUUCUUCCCAGCCCUGAUCUACCUGAAGUAGAACUUCUGCUGUGCCGUGUCCUACAGGGCCCUAGAGCUGCAAGGCACAAAGUCCUGCCUUGUUUUCCAAGGGGAGACUAGUCCCUCAGUGUGCAGCUUCCAGCUCUUUGGGCAGCUAAGAAACAAUUUGCUCUGCACAGAUCUCUUCCAUCCUCCCUGGAACAUGUCUUACAAAGGCCUGUGAAACGCAAUUUCUUGGAAGGCCUGAUCUUUCUGAAGCAGAACUUCUGCUCUGAGUGUGCUACCUUGGCAUAGAGCUGCCAGGCCCAAAGCGCUGGCUUCCAUGCAAAGGGGUAGAGAGGCCCCAAAGCAUCUUGCUUCCAGCUCUUUGGGAAGCUAAGAAACUACUGGCUCUGCCCAGUGCUCUUACAACCUACCUGGAACAUCUGUUACCAAGGCCUGUGAAAUGCAGUCUCUUGACAGGCCUGAUCUGGCUGAAGCAGACCUUCUGCUCUGGGUGUGCUACAUUGGCAUAGAGCUGCCAGGCCCAAAGUGCUGGCUUCUUUUCAAAGGGGUAGAGAGGCCCCAAAGCAUCUUGCUUCCAGCUCUUUGGGAAGCUAAGAAACUACUGGCUCUGCCCAGUGCUCUUACAACCUACCUGGAACAUCUGUUACCAAGGCCUGUGAAAUGCAGUCUCUUGACAGGCCUGAUCUGGCUGAAGCAGACCUUCUGCUCUGGGUGUGCUACAUUGGCAUAGAGCUGCCAGGCCCAAAGUGCUGGCUUCUUUUCAAAGGGGUAGAGAGGCCCCAAAGCAUCUUGCUUCCAGCUCUUUGGGAAGCUAAGAAACUACUGGCCCUGCCCAGUGCUCUUACAACCUACCUGGAACAUCUGUUACCAAGGCCUGUGAAAUGCAGUUUCUUGACAGGCCUGAUCUGGCUGAAGCAGACCUUCUGCUCUGGGUGUGCUACAUUGGCAUAGAGCUGCCAGGCCCAAUGGGUUGCCUUGUUUCCAAAGGGGGAGAGAGGCCCCAUACAUCUUGCUUCCAGCUCUUUGGGAAGCUAAGGAACAACUGACACUGAACAAUGCUACCACAGCAUACCGGGAACAUCACUUACAAAGGCCUGUGAAACGCAGUUUCUUGCCAGGCCUGAUCUUACUGAAGUAGAAUUUCUGCUCUGGGUGUGCUAAAUUUGCCUAGAGCUGCCAGGCCGAAAGGGCUGCCUUUUUUGCAAAUUGGCAGAGAGGCCCCACAGCGUGGGGCUUCGAGCUUUUUGGGCAGCUAAGAAAGAACUUGCUCCGCACUGGUGUUUUACAGCCUACAGGGAACGAAUCUUACAAAGGCCUGUGAAACGCAGUUUCUUCCCAGGCAUGAUCUCGCUGAAGUAGAACUUCUGCUCUGCCGUGUCCUACAUGGCCCUAGAGAUGCAAGGCACAAAGUCCUGCCUUGUUUCCCCAAGGGGAGACAAGUCCCUCAGCGUCCAGCUUCCAGCUCUUUCGGCAGCUAAGAAACAACUCGCUCUGCAUAGGGCUCUUACAGACCACCGGGAACAUGUCUUAAAAAGGCCUGUGAAAAGCGGUUUCUUCCCAGCCCUGAUCUGUCUGAAGUAGAACUUCUGAUCUGCCGUGUCCUACAUGGCACUAGAGCUGCAAGGCACAAAGUCCUGCCUUGCUUCCCCAAGGGGAGACUAGUCCCUCAGCGUCCAGCUUCCAGCUCUUUGGGCAGCUAGGAAAAAACUCGCUAUGCAUUGGUGUUGUACAGCCUACCGGGAACAUACCUUACAAAGGCCUGUGUAACGCAGUUUCUUCCCAGGUCUGAUCUCGCUGAAGUAGAACUUCUGCUCUGCCGUGUCCUACAUGGGCCUAGAGCUGCAAGGCACAAACUCCUGUCUUGUGUCCUCAAGGGCAGACAGGCCCCACAGCAUGGGGCUUCCAGAUCUUUGGGCAGCUGAGAAGCAACUUGCUCUGCACAGGAGUUUUACAGCCUACAGGGAACGAGUCUUACAAAGGCCUGUGAAACGCAGUUUCUUUGUAGGCCUGAUCUGGCUGAAGUAGAACUUCUGCUCUGGGUGUGCUACAUUGACCUAGAGCUGAAAGGCACAACGUGCAGGCUUCUUUCCAAAGGGCGAGUUGGGCCCCAAAGCAUCUUGCUUCCAGCUCUUUGGGAAGCUAAGAAACAACUCGCUCUGCACAGUGCUCUUACAGCCUACCGGGAACAUCUCUUACAAAGGCCUGUGAAACGCAGUUUCUUUGCAGGCCUGAUCUGGCUGAAGUAGAACUUCUGCUCUGCGUGUGCUCCAUUGCCCUAGAGCUGAAAGGCACAACGUGCAGGCUUCUUUCCAAAGGGCGAGUUGGGCCCCAAAGCAUCUUGCUUCCAGCUCUUUGGGAAGCUAAGAAACAACUCGCUCUGCACAGUGCUCUUGAAGCCUACCGGGAACAUCUCUUACAAAGGCCUGUGAAACGCAGUUUCCUUGCAGGCCUCAUAUGGCUGAAGUAGAACUUUUGCUCUGCGUGUUCUACAUUGCCCUAGAGCUGAAAGUCACAACGUGCAGGCUUCUUUCCAAAGGGCGAGUUGGGCCCCAAAGCAUCUUGCUUCCAGGUCUUUGGGAAGCUAAGAAACAACUCGCUCUGCACAGUGCUCUUACAGCCUACCGGGAACAUCUCUUACAAAGGCCUGUGAAACGCAGUUUCUUUGCAGGCCUCAUCAGGCUGAAGUAGAACUUCUGCUCUGGGUGUGCUCCAUUGCCCUAGAGCUGAAAGGCACAACGUGCAGGCUUCUUUACAAAGGACGAGUUGGGCCCCAAAGCAUCUUGCUUCUAGCUCUUUGGGAA
ensembl:lncRNA